GUUACCGUGCCAACAGAAAGCAAACCAGAAGCACGAGUCGCAGCAUUUCGCUGUGGCCUUAAUUUGCACGGUGAAACUAACGUUAAGUGCUUUGUCAUGUGAAGAUUUGAAACUUUUCAAAGCACAAGGCUUGGAGGAAGGAAAGCGGUGAAGCCACUUAACCCAUAUGACUUUCCAUGGUUGGCUUUAUGAGCACAUCCCUUUCAAACACGGAGCUGUACGUUGCUGACCCCGUGGAACCAGUACAGAACUGUGAACAGCUUCCUGCCCCUCAACCACAGUGCAAAUGGUGUGCCCUUUAGGUAUGUACUGACACUACCAGGUGUGAUGGUGUCUCCUGGUGGCGUCUCAAGGUGGGACCAACAGGAGGGAACAUACAAGCUCUGUGAACUGGAAGAAAAGGGUAACAACGUGGGCUGCAUAUAUUCACUUAAACAAUGAAUAAAACUACCUCAAUGUCA